GGGUUCUUAGCUCAGUUGGCUAGAGCGCUACAUUGACGUUGUAGAGGUCAGAGGUUCAAAUCCUCUAGAACCCACCA
rnacentral:tRNA from 1 species